UGGGAUUUAGCUCAGUGGCAUAAGCACCUGCCUUGCAAACAGGUGGUCAUGGGUUCAAUACCCAAUACCGA
rfam:Cavia porcellus supercont2_89 genomic scaffold, whole genome shotgun sequence.